GUUCCUGGGUGAAGACAGAAGCACUGGCAGCAACCUGCUAUCAUCAUCAUCCUCAUUACCAUCCACCAGUGAAGUGGGGCCUCACUGUGCUGCCACUUGUGCCGAGGACGCAGGGGAAAACACAGCAUUGCUAGGUGACAGUGUGGAGGUGGCGUGUCUGUGACACCGAAGCUUGCCGUCUCCCCGCCCACCCGCCUGGCUUCCUCACUCAGCCUGUUCUGCUCAGCAUGCCGUUUCCCCGCAGAAAACACACAGCCACAGAACUGGGAACAUGAGGCCCCACCAGCAGGUGAUUUGAAGAUGUUAAAGUUGGAAGUUGGAACUAAAGAAAAUCCCACGAAUUCAAGGUUAUUUUUUAAAAUCUGAGUUAAACUCGUUUAAUUACACUUAAAACAAUGUAAACCUCAGGGUUAUGGUUUUACUUUAGGUAGAUGGUCUUUUUUGAUGUCUUGCUAUUUUGCUGCUCCUGAAUUCAAGUGAUCCUUCUGGCUCAGCCUCUUUGAGUAGCUGGACUAGAUAUAGGUGUCAUGUCCAGCUUGUCUUUAUGUCUAACCAAGACUUUGUGCUGGACUCAUCUACUUGGGAGGCCGAGGCAGAAGGAUGUAAGUUCAAGUCCAGCCUGGACAACUUUAAGACCCUGUCCAAAAAUUAAGACUGGGAACAUAGCUCAGUUUGCCUGGCAUAUGUGAGCCCCCGAGUUUAAUUCCUGACACUGCACCAAAAAUAAAAAACCUGCUUGGUGAUGUUAUAACUUUUAUUUAUAAAAUGUUCUCUAUUCCUCCAGCUAUUACUCUGUAAGUAAUCUUUCAGGCACUUGCCUCAUAUCCUCCUUAUUGUAUUUGCAGUUCCUGUUUGAGAAUUUGUCCAAAAUUUAUGAUCCCCACGUAUCACAUGCAACCCUUUUGCAGAUAUGUGCAGAGCAGUGAAAAUUUGAGUUGCUCAACAUUUAGUUUUAGGUUUCUGGCAGUAAUGGGGACAAAAACACAUUCCAGAGUUUGAACAAGGGGGCGCUGCACUUCACUCAAGCAUCCUUUUACUUGUCGUAGUGCCAUGCUUUAUGUUUUUGUACUUUUUUGGUAGCUUCACUCUUAAGUGGCCCCUGAGCACAGUGAAGUGCUAUGCCCUGUCCUGAGCGAACGCAGAGACGCUGGCACUCAAGCACAAGUUAGUGUGCUGUUGGCCUGCAGUUCUGCAUUGUAUUUUGCUCAAGAAUCCAUCGGGCAUGAAACCUUAAGAUGGGACUGUUUCCCAGCAAUGGCCAUCACUGAAAUUACCACUCUACAAGUGUUCCUUAUUAGUGCUAAUCUGCACAAGAGGUGCAUGCUUUUCUGCAUUAAGAGAUCAGCCUUAUUGCUAUCCUUUUAGUCACUCGAAGGCAUUCUUCCUGUUACAUGGGCAUAUUAUGUCAUUACCGUAUUUCCUCCAAGCAAAUAUACAAACCCUUACUUUCCUAAGAAUAACCAAGAUGUAGUUUUUUUUGUUGUCUUU